rnacentral:rRNA from 1 species
AUUGAACGCUGGCGGCAUGCCUUACACAUGCAAGUCGAACGGUAACAGGUCUUCGGAUGCUGACGAGUGGCGAACGGGUGAGUAAUACAUCGGAACGUGCCCGAUCGUGGGGGAUAACGAAGCGAAAGCUUUGCUAAUACCGCAUAAGAUCUAUGGAUGAAAGCAGGGGACCGCAAGGCCUUGCGCGAACGGAGCGGCCGAUGGCAGAUUAGGUAGUUGGUGGGAUAAAAGCUUACCAAGCCGACGAUCUGUAGCUGGUCUGAGAGGACGACCAGCCACACUGGGACUGAGACACGGCCCAGACUCCUACGGGAGGCAGCAGUGGGGAAUUUUGGACAAUGGGCGAAAGCCUGAUCCAGCCAUGCCGCGUGCAGGAUGAAGGCCUUCGGGUUGUAAACUGCUUUUGUACGGAACGAAAAGACUCUUUCUAAUAAAGAGGGUCCAUGACGGUACCGUAAGAAUAAGCACCGGCUAACUACGUGCCAGCAGCCGCAGUAA